CUUCACGAGAGUGUGUGUGUGUGCACCUUCAUGCCAGCUCCUCGGAGUGGAACUCUAUCGACCCUGCUGAGCGAGAGUUCUGUUCAAGCGUCAGUUGUCGUGCCUGGAGAUCUGUAAUAUGACAGCGGACGCUCUGAGUGACGACAGCAGCUUCUGGAACACCAUCAAGUCCCACGACACCUGGAGACGCAUUCCAGAGUUCCAUGGCACCUGGAGACGCAGCAGCACGGCCGGAGAAUGCAGGAACAAGCCCAGACAUGGAGAUCUCUGCAGCACUUUGGAUUUGACCUGAUCACUGUCUUUGUCACUUUUGGACACAUUACAUAGUUGGUAGAGCUCAAUGUGUGUGUGUGUCUGUGAGUGAAUCUGCAACCUACAGAGCUGCAGAUCAACAGAGGUCAGAUCAUAUCAACAACAUCAUCUCUCCCUCGAUCACUCUGCAUUGUGUAUGAAAGGACGGACGGCACAACCGACGGCACAACCGAAUAGAAUAGGCAAAACUUGUGUUUAAAUGCAGUAGGCCUAGUAACUGCUUGAGGAGGAAGAAGAGCUAUUUGUUUUGUAGUUGUAACUUUGUUGAAGCACCUUUUAAAGUAGGCUUUUAAGUACUUUUAACUUCGAGAACCUACUUAAGUCUGUGCACCACAGUAGGGGUAGAGUGUUUGCUUAAAUUUGCAUAGCGGGAAGCUUUACUUUAGCUUUACUUUAGUAAGCUCUAGACCAAGUUAGAGCUUCAUAACAACAGUGUGUAUUGUAUGUGAAAUAUUGUAAAUUUAGAAAGUGUUUCAAAAUGUUUUCCAGGAUCAUGUUUGAGGUGCACGUAUCUAGUGGAAUUCCAACCAUGUUGUAAUGUUACUUUUGUGUAGCAAUUUAAUCUGAAUAUAAUAUAAACUCAACAUCAUCCCAUUUGGUUGUUAUUAGGGACCUGUAAGAGGAUAUCUGUCAGCUAUAAUUUCUAAAUUAAAAAAUUGAGUGAAGGUGUUUCAUGUAAUGAAGUUAUUUUGUGCUAUUUAAAAGUAUG